rnacentral:rRNA from 1 species
ACUGAGCGGCGGACGGGUGAGUAACGCGUGGGUAACCUGCCUCAUACAGGGGGAUAACAGUUAGAAAUGACUGCUAAUACCGCAUAAGACCACAGGGCCGCAUGGCCCGGUGGUAAAAACUCCGGUGGUAUGAGAUGGACCCGCGUCUGAUUAGCUGGUUGGUGGGGUAACGGCCUACCAAGGCGACGAUCAGUAGCCGACCUGAGAGGGUGACCGGCCACAUUGGGACUGAGACACGGCCCAAACUCCUACGGAAGGCAGCAG